GGUCUUAUUGGUGUAAUGGUUGCAACCUCUGGACUCUGGAAUCCAGGCGAUCCGGGUUCACUAUCCCGCGUAGGACCU
rnacentral:tRNA from 1 species